CGGUUUGUCAAGCGGAGUGC
rnacentral:miRNA from 1 species